CCGGGGGGCGAGUGGGCGUCUCUGCCUGCUUCCGACGCCGGCCCCGAGGGACCGAGGGGGGACGGUGUCCGCGCUCCCGGGGGACCGAGGGGGACAGUGUCCGGGGGACCGAGGGGAAGGGGGUAGUGUCCGCGCUCCCGGGGGGCCAUGGGGACGGUGUCAGCGCUCCCGGGGGACCGAGGGGAGAGUAUCCGCGCUUCCGGGAAACCGAGGGGGACAGGGUCUGGGAGGGACCCACUUUUUCUGGCAGCUAACGUUGUGCGUGCGCACACAUCAUCUAGGCCCGUAUGUACGUGGGGUCUGAGUACACCUGGGGGUGCCGAACGUUCCACCUUUCUAACAAGCCGGGUGAGGGGGAUGCUGCCUGUGGGCGACCGCAGUUGAGAAGGCCCUGGGGACGCCCUGCCUACCCUCCGCUUACAGGUGCAUUCGGGUCGCUGUUCGUUAACCGGGGUGUCCAGAGCCCUGCGCCUCAGGGACGGACUCGGGACCCGCGGUUAAUAGGUGAGCGCGGGCACGCGGUAGCAGGAGCGGGUGAGACGGGGUGUGUGUGCGGCCGCCCGCGGACCUACCCGGAAGGCGACCGUGUGCCCGCAGGGCCGGGACUGCCACGUGCGGAGACAGCGCCCGCCGUCUGGGUGGAGUGGAGCGAGGACGCGCAGUGCGCAGGGGCCCCGCCUCUGGGGCUCGUGCGGGAGCCAGGCGGCGUCAAAGGACGCGAGGAGAUGGCUUCCCGGCAGGUGCGUUCCUGAGCGGCGGAUCAAACCGACACUGAACCCAGAGGGCCGCUCUCCGGUUUAAGCCGGGCUGCUGCAGCGUCCGAAACGGCGUCCGGUGACCCCGCAGGUCCCGCGGGUCCCGGCCGCAAGGGUCGUGGGGUCUUUACGCUCCCGCGCCCUCCUCCCCACGCUUUCCACUCCGCCCAGAGACCUCGAAGAACACCUGCUAGGCCAAGUCCCGCCUGCUUUGAACGCUCUGUGCUCCUGCUUCUUAGGUGUUCUCCCUGCUCCCCGCUCCGCUGCCGCUGCGCUCCCUUUUCAGACACUUUCUAACCUUUGCCCGGAAUCGUCAGGGGGCACUCAGCUUUCCCUGCACCGAGUCAAAAUCCCACUCGCAUCGUGAUCCUGGAGGUGGGAUCCCUAACAGUGUGUUCAACACAGAGCUGCCGUUCCGGUUCUGGGACUACAUCUCCCCAGGAGGUGACCCUGUGUGCCCUCCGCCCCGCCCCUCCUUCCCCGGAGUUACUGCGGGCCGGGCUGGAACAGACCCCUGCGGGGACCCGGUCGAAUCGCAUUUUAAUCAGGCGCCAGCAGGUGGCAGCACGCCGCCUUGCCUCGGUCCUGCUGGCGGAGCCUGAACACCUUUUCCAUGUUUUCAACAAAAUCAAUUUUCGAGUGUUCACAGUUGUUGAACUGAGAGGCUUUACUCCACACCAUUUAAUUUUAGACGGAGAAAUAGUUUGGUUUUUUUCCCGAGCAUUAUGGGGUAGCCGAAUCUGUUCUUAUCGAUUCUUCUCUCAGAGAAUGCAGGUGUAAACUUGCAGUCAUUUAACGACAGGCUUCCGAGAACUCCAUAAUUAUGGACAACGAAAGCCUUAUGGAUUAAAUCCAGCAAAUUUUAUAUCUCACCUUCACUUGAUAUUUUCAGUAUUCCACUGAUGCGUCCCUACCUCAGUGCUCGGGAAGUGGUGACCACAUGGGUCACAACCACACCAAACUGUGCUACUUGGUUUGACGCGUUUCUGUCCUUCUCACUGACUGAGCCGCUCCAGGGCCUGGUCCUGUCUUAUCUGUCUGAUUGUUUGACACCCUCAGCACAUCUGAUACCUAGUAGGUUGUCCGUGAGAAUGUCUGUGACCAGAGUGCCGAACACAUCUGUAGCGACAGCUCAUUCAGUCGUUGGAGAUGAAGAUCUUCUGGAAUCUGUGUUUGUGUGCAGACCCUCAGGACUACGCAUGCAGGCGCACUCCCGGGAGGGCUUCUUGUGUCCGCAGACAAGGAGGGAAGAGCUGAGGAAACAAAUUAAGGCACUGUCUUCUCUUGGGAAAAUUGAAUCCAUAAUGACACAUUAUUAGUUGAAGACAUCCCCUCCCACCCCCACCUUAUUCCUGAGCCAGCAGGCACUAAAGCAGCAGUUUUCCAGAACAUGUUUGGGAAGCCUCAUUGUACAGCAUAUGGAAGGGACUGUGUUCCUCGAGCCCCAUGAGGUUUCUGUAGAAUUUCUUAAAAUUUUAUCUUGGCUAGUAGUAAACACACAAGUGCAAUGUUAUGUUUGGGGAUUUUCCCUCUGUAUUUUUGAUUGUAUAUGGUCGACCCAAAACAGAUAAGAUCACUAAAGCGUGGUUAAAAUUAGGCCACACGAACAUGGUAUUUGGGUAUUUGAUGUGCUCUCUAACAGGUCGUCUGUAAGAAGCCAGAGCCAGAUGACCAGGCUCUGCUGAUGUCCUGGGAUGAGGCCCAUGGUGACACAGACAUUAGUCUAAACCUCCCUCUUGGCUUUUCUGAUGUGUGUGCCUGAUGCCUCUCGAUGGCAAAUCUGUCACAUGCCAUCAGUGGCUGGUUCUGGGUUUAUGGAAAGUGUGGAGGCAUUUCCCACAAUGGUUUCUGGCAUAUAGUGGACACUCAGGGGACAUUUGUCUAGUCAUUCAUAGCCCGGCCAUUGGCUAACGGGGCAGGCCCUGGGCCAGAUGGUGGACCACCACCAGGCCAAAAGGCGGUCCACGCCGUGGGAGACGCGCGCUGUGAUGGUGCCGAAGGAAACCGCCUGCAGGAAGCGUCACCAGGCGGGGACACGUGCAGGGCUGACCUCUGAAGAUUGAGUGGAGACUCCUCUGGUAAGCUGGGUAGAAGGAAAAGAACAUUGCUGGCAGAGGAAACCAUGUGCUCAGACACAGGUAAGGAUGAAAUUUGUUAACGAAUAUAAGGAGCUGUAAGCUCUUGCUCUGGGUUGAAGUGAAAGGCGUCUCGUGGAGAAUAUUAGGGAAUUUGAACAUUAACCAGGUAAUGUAAGUGUGUGUGCUCUGUGGAGACUGGCCUGACUCUUACAGGCCAGUAUUUCUCAUUCAAGGCCCACUGUUCUCCAUGUGCAGGGACAUAUUCUCAAACUAUUUCUCAGUAAGGCUAUAAAUGCCACAUCUGUAUUUAGAUGGCAGUGUUUGAAAUCACUGUGUCCAUUUACACGUCUGUGUCUCCUCUGUCUAUGCAUCUGCUCUGCGUUUCCUGAACGUCCACUUUAUACCACAAUUUACUUCUAGAAUCCCAAAGACGCCCUCACCCUCGAUUCUGGAAAUGAUGAGCGUGUUCCCUCACACAGAGGAGGGGAGUGUAGGUGGCACAUGGAUUACAGUCACUGCACAGCUGCCUUCAUGUAGGGAGCGAGGCAACCGGCCACGGCUAGUGUGCGGGGGGGAGAAGAGCCUGGCACGCAGGUGCCUCCGGAGGCUGGAAGGCAGCAGAAUCAUCUCCCCGGGAGACUCCGAACGGAACCAGCCCUGCCAACACUUUGAUUUCAACCCAGUGAGACCAAAAAUAAACCUCAGUACGCGUGUGGUCUCCCCCAGGCGAAUGUCCUCAGCGGUCGAUGCACGACGUCCCCACCCUCCAGCUGUCACUCCAUGAGUUCCUGGGCACAGUACGCACACCUUCCUGUGCUUCUUACAUCCUUUCCACCCUUUAAAAUUAUUUUUUUAACGUUUAUUUAUUUUUGAGACAGAGAGAGACAGAGCAUGAACAGGCGAGGGGCAGAGAGAGAGGGAGACACAGAAUCUGAAACGGGCUCCAGGCUCUGAGCUGUCAGCACAGAGCCCGACGCGGGGCUCGAACUCACGGACCAUGAGAUCAUGACCUGAGCCGAAGUCGGACACUUAACCGACCGAGCCACCCAGGCGCCCCCUUUCCACCCUUUGAACGCAACCUCUGGGAUCCUAUUAGCUGGGACUUUCUUGAUUGUAGGUUGUGGAAAUCUCCUCUCCCUCUGGCAGAGCAACGUUCUCUGGACCUAGAGCAGGAAGCAUGGCCCUGAGCCUUGGCCGCAGACCCUCCUGUCUACAUUCAUGUUCCCCGUUGCUUGACAUCGUUAUGAAAGCAGUGGCCAAAUCGUAGAAUGACUUUUUAAAUUAGGAGGGGCAAAAGCAUCUUUUGAUUUUUACUUCUGUCAACUAGCUGUUUCUCCAGCUUUUAAGAUGAUAAACUAGGGGCAUCCGGGGGGCUCAGUCGGUUAGGCAUCUGACACCUGAUUUCGGCUCAGGUCAUGAUCUCGGGGUUCAUGAGACCGAGCCCUGUGUCGGGCUCUGCACUGACAGCUGGGAGCCUGCUUGGGAUUCUCUCCCUCCCUCUCUCUGCCCCUUCCCCACUCACACUCUCACUCUAAAACACAAAACAAAACUGGGGACACGUCGAAGACUCAGUGAGAAGAGAGAUCAGCUGGGCCAGCAAGUGGGAGAGUUGAUGGCUCGCAGGCUGGUUGCGGGGGGCGGGGAGGCCUGAGGACAGAGGGUGCUCUUUGCAGGGUCAAGGUGGGAGUGACCCAGCCCAGUGUUCACAGGUUCACACCACUGCCUGAUUCUUUAUCCUUUUCCCUUUUGUUUUGUUAAACACCUAGAGUGAGAUAUGGGCUGGUAGGCUGGGUGUACAUUCAGCGUGAUUCUCCUGACAGGAGCCCGCCCCCCAGGGUCCCCCUCCUGGGGCUGGUCCUACUGGAGGUGCCAUCGCCACACUUGCUGUGUCUUAACUUGCGUUUCCCAGAUAACUAGUAAAAGUGAAUUCUUGUUCAUAUGCUUAUUGGCAAUUUAUAUAUCUUCUUUGGUAAAGUUUCUAUUUAAAUAUUUUCUCCAUUUUUUACUGGGUUGUUUUUUCUUUUUAUUAUUAGGUAUAAGAUUAAAAAAUAUGUUUUGCACACUAGUUGUUUAUUAGAUCUAUGUUUUGUGAAUGUUUUCUCCUGAUCAAGAGCUUGUCUAUUCGUAGUCUUACAGAAUCUUCAAUGAACAAAUAUUUUCAAUUUUGGCAAAGUUACUUUAUCAUUUUUUAACAUGUUCAUUGUUUUCUGUGGCCUAAGAAACGUUUGCCUACCUCAUAUCACAAAGAUCCUGUAUUUUCACAUAAAACUUUAAAUGUCGAUGAGCCAUCUCAAAUUAACUUUUGUGAAAUGGGUGAAUGAGGAAGGGUCAAGUUCAUGUUUUCCUUGAUAUGCAAUUAUUCCAGAACUGUUUACUACAAAAUGCUUUCUUUCCCCCAUUUGAUUGCCUUUCCACCUUUGUCCAACAGCAGCCAGCCCUGGGGGGUGCCUACUGCUGGGCUCUGUCCCGUGCGGGCCCCCUGCCCUCACACACACACAGUCUCUACCACUGAACUUUAUCUGAGGCUCAACCUUAUCUACAUGCAUCGUAAACACUGGGAGAAAGUAAAAUAAAGUACAGUAGAAUGCAUCAGAUGUAUCUACAAAACCUACAGGAAAUGUCUUUUAAACUUGCCCAGCAUUUACCAUUUCCAAAGCUCUUCACCCCUUUCUGGAGAUUCACGUUUUUGUGCUGUAUCAUUUUCUCUGAGGCUAAAGAAUUUCCUUUAGCAUUUCAUGCCAUAUGGAUCUGUUGCUAUUUCCUUAGUUUUCUCUGUCUGGGAUGCUUUCAUUUGGUCUUCGUUUGACAGGCUAUUUUUGCGGCACAUUGAUUUUUGCACGUGACCUUGUCUUUCCGUGAGCGCUCUGGAGCAGCCCUGCUGUCUUCCGGCCGUAGCUUCUCACCGGAGCCAGCUGUCCUUCCGCGUGCAGGUUUUCUGUGGGUACUGUGCCAUACUCCUGUUUUGAGGAUUUUCUCUUGGUUUCACCAGAUGGACGAUGAUGUGCCUAAGAUUCAUUUUAUCUGUAUUUGUAUUUCUUUUGGCUCAAUAAACUUAAUUCUCUGAAUUA